rnacentral:rRNA from 1 species
GAUGAACGCUGGCGGCGUGCUUAACACAUGCAAGUCGAACGGAAAGGCUCCUGCUUGCAGGGGUACUCGAGUGGCGAACGGGUGAGUAACACGUGGGUGAUCUGCCCUGCACUUCGGGAUAAGCCUGGGAAACUGGGUCUAAUACCGGAUAGGACGAUGGUUUGGAUGCCAUUGUGGAAAGUUUUUCGGUGUGGGAUGAGCUCGCGGCCUAUUAGCUUGUUGGUGGGGUAAUGGCCUACCAAGGCGUCGACGGGUAGCCGGCCUGAGAGGGUGUACGGCCACAUUGGGACUGAGAUACGGCCCAGACUCCUACGGGAGGCAGCAGUGGGGAAUAUUGCACAAUGGGCGCAAGCCUGAUGCAGCGACGCCGCGUGGGGGAAGACGGCCUUCGGGUUGUAAACUCCUUUCGCUAGGGACGAAGCGCAAGUGACGGUACCUGGAGAAGAAGCACCGGCUAACUACGUG